rnacentral:rRNA from 1 species
UACGGGGGGGGCAAGCGUUGUUCGGAAUUACUGGGCGUAAAGGGCUCGUAGGCGGCCAACUAAGUCAGACGUGAAAUCCCUCAGCUUAACUGGGGAACUGCGUCUGAUACUGGAUGGCUUGGAUUCGGGAGAGGGAUGCGGAAUUCCAGGUGUAGCGGUGAAAUGCGUAGAUAUCUGGAGGAAUACCGGUGGCGAAGGCGGCAUCCUGGACCAUUACUGACGCUGAGGCGCGAAAGCUAGGGGAGCAAACGGG